GCCCUGAGAGGGAGAUUGAGCCUGAGAGAGGAGAAGGAGUUUCUUCUUCUUCGAAAACCCUCGUCUACGACUCCUACCCCCUCACCCAUCCACUCGCCUCCCUCCCGAGCCCCCUCCACCCUCCUUCUCUUUGGCCGUGAGAGGAAGAGAGAAAGAGACCAAAAGCCUCUUAGCAACACAGACCUUUUGCUGCUUCUGCUGCUGCUGCUGCUGCUGCUGUUGCUGCUGCUGCUGCUGCUGUUGCUGCUGUUGCUGCUGCUGCUGCUGCUGCUGUUGCUGUUGCUGCUGUUGCUGUUGCUGCUGCUGCUGUUGCUUGGCCCUGGCUGGAGACAUCUCACUACACCCAGGAGCAGCCACUUCCCCAGCUCUCCUCCUUCUCCUCCUCCUCCUCCUCCACUCCCCCCCUUUAUUACCCUUUGUGUCAUCCUCCACAGCUCCAGGGAAGGCACUCAAAAGUGGGGGGCAGGAAAGAUGAACAUUGGAGGCGACAAUUAAUACCUGUGUGAAGGAUAUAUUGAAGGCUUUGUGGUUUACAGACAAGAUCUGUAGAAAUUAGACACUCAAGGUAAAUUAAACUAUAGCCUCAUAAUUUUAUAUGAAUGAUUAAGUUUCCCUUAUUAUAAUUAGACUUGCUAUUUCCUUUUCAUCAUAGUUCUUAAGUGACCUCGUGACCGCAUUCCUUCAUAUUCAGGCAC
rnacentral:lncRNA from 1 species